UACGUAGGGGGCAAGCGUUGUCCGGAAUUAUUGGGCGUAAAGCGCGUGUAGGCGGCCAGGUAGGUCCGCUGUGAAAACUCGAGGCUCAACCUCGAGAUGUCGGCGGAAACCAUCUGGCUAGAGUCCGGAAGAGGAGAGUGGAAUUCCCGGUGUAGCGGUGAAAUGCGCAGAUAUCGGGAAGAACACCCGUGGCGAAGGCGGCUCUCUGGGACGGUACUGACGCUGAGACGCGAAAGCGUGGGGAGCGAACAGG
rnacentral:rRNA from 1 species